UUCGUGAGUGGAACAGGUACGGCGAGUUGACGCGCUUCCGGACCCAGGUGAGAGCGCUGCAGACAUGAACUCACGGAUCAAACGAGGCUGCCUCGCUCUCUUUGCUUGGACGCUGAGGUCUUGAUCGUUUAGGAUUAAAAAUUAGAGCAACAGGAGUUCCGUCCUCUAUCACAGCAGUUUCUCAGGUUAAAGUUCCCUUCCAAAAUGUAAAAGGAUGACCACUGUGUAGUCACUAUUAACCAGCAUCAUGAGUUCGGUGAGUGCGUCGGGCCUUUUCACGCCGGUGUUGUUCUUGCUGGCUCUGGCCUUGGUUCUGUUCUCAUGCGUCCUCCGUAAAAGGCGGCAUAUGGAGGGAUCGUACCAACCCAGCGCGGAAGAGCGGAAACAAGCC